rnacentral:tRNA from 1 species
GAGUGGCUAAAGGCAGAUUUUCAUGGAAAUUUUGAUGUUGACCUCCGGACUGUCUAUCCGGAGGUUGCGAGUUCGAAUCUCGUCCGCCUCG